UGUCAGCCUCAGCAGCGCGCUGUGCUGUUUUGUAUGGCAUUGGGUUGGAGAUGGGUCAUGACUGUGAAAUUGUGGUCCAAGCUUCUGAACGUUCCCCAUCCUGUAGGUGCUACAGCAGCAAGGCAAAGCAAAUCCAGAGCAUGGUUUCUCUGCUGGGCUUGCUGAGCAGACAGCUGUGUAUCAGAAGUGGUUAAGCCUGAGCCUCGUUCAUCUGCCCCAGCUGGAGCCAGUUAGCUGGGGAGUGCCAGAGGCUGCCAGCUCCCCAGGAGGAGGUGAAAAGCAGGAGAAAGGUGGAGGCACAGGCUUGAGAGCUGUGGACUGAGAGGAAUUAUGCAAGGAAAAGCAUAAAACAGGGAGCAGAGGCUGCCAAAGCAGUUAUUUGCUGCAGGGAAAACGGGAGAAGGACUGUGGGCAGAAGCUGAGAAAUUGCCUUUGCUUUGAGAGAGCCCAGCUCAUUGCCCACAGCUGGCAGCAGCAAACCCAGCAACAUCACCCUCAGCUGUGAGCCCCAGCAACGUGCCCCUGCUCCUCCUUGCAGAGGGAAGGGCAGGAGCAGGGCAGAUGGAGGCUCUGGAGAAGAGCAAACAAAGCCCUAAGUGUUUGAUGGGGCCCUUUGCACCUUGAAGAGAGGUGUGGGAAAGGAGUAGAAGGAGCCAGGCAGAGAGCAGCCUGCGGCUCAAAUAGCUAAAAGCUUGGGGGGCCCUCACUCUUUGGUUGGAGCCUCUGGAGGAGCGCAGAGCAUGCUGCUGGGAGUGCCCUGCUCUGUCCUCUGCCCUGCAUGUCCUGACAGCGAAGGUUGCAGGCUUAGGGCCUUCAUGAGGGAUUACUUCCAGGAGAAUCAAGUGCUGGGCAUCACGGCCACAGCAGCAUCUCCUAUGGCAGAGCUCAGUCUUACACCUCUGUGACCUUCUGUGGCUCUGUCCCGUCCUGCCCCUUACACCUCGCUGUCGCUGCUGGUGCUCUUGUUGUCAUGCUAAAUUAAGGAAACCAUCGGACCCUUCAAAAUGUCCUCUUACCAUUUCAAGGAGGGGCUGGCUGGAGGUAACUUAAAGCAGAGAGAAGAGCCGUGGAGGAGAGCUUUGCGCAUUAAGAUCUCAAUGAAUUAUGCAUGCUGUGAGGCAGGCUGGUACUGGCGCUGCUGGCUUUAUGGGAGGAGGAGAGUGAUGGCAACAAUUCACCUCAGUCUCGAGCUGGGGCUUCUCAUGGCGAGGCAGUAAUUUGGGCUGAGAAGGAGCAACACAGCUUUUCCUUUGGGCCCCUGGGGGCUGAGAAAGGUUAUUUGGCAGCAAGGAGCAGAGGACCUGCUCGGCAGAGUGAGGAGAAAGGGAAGGGAAGGCAGGGAGCACGCAUCAGCUCCGUGAGCUGCUCGGCAGGGCUGUGCUGAGGAGUGGUGGAGAUGCUGACAAGCCCCAGUGGGUGCGCAUUAAACCCUGCCACUUAACGGGACAGGAAGGCUGACACCAAAAGCCUCUGCUGCCUUGGGCUCACUCUCCUGCGAAGCAAAGGUGGAAAGAAAAAGAGGAAGCAGCAGUUAAAGCAAAAAAUCUCGUUCAGGGUAAAGGUUGGCUGCAGGAAAAUAAAACUCUGCAGCUGUCUGAGAUGAGGUCCGUUCCCGCACGUGGCAGCUGACUUGUAGAGCUCCUGCAUGUCACAAGUAGGUAACUAGUUCAAGUGGUUUGCCAGGAAAUGAAGUGCCCUAGAAGUUUUCCAGGUCUUCGUGAAUCAACAGCAAAAAGAAAUUAGUUUCUGCGCUUGCUGGCGAGUUGCCACCACGUAUUUAUCAGACAGCUGCUGCUUUGGUAGUGGCACUAGUAGGAGCUUGGGUA